rnacentral:rRNA from 1 species
GCCGGAGCGCGACGCUCUCCCCAAGGACGAAGCCAUGCAUGCCCGCUCACCCGGGACGCGGCGGACGGCUCAGGACAACGGUUGCACCCCCCGCGGCGGUCCCUGCUAGCCGGACACCGCUGGCAACCCGGCGCCAAGACGUGCGCGCAAGGGCGGGCGCCCGCGGGCGAGCAGCGUGACGCAGCGACGGCCCGCCCGGGCUUCCGGGGCAUCACCCGGUCGGCGCGGUCGCGGCGCGCCGAGGGCCCGACGCCUGGCG